GACAGAGGUCCCGAGCGUUAGGCGGAAUCACUGGGCUUAAAGCGUGUGUAGGCGGAGUUCUAAGUACCUUGUGAAAUCCCACGGCUUAACCGUGGAACUGCUUGGUAUACUGGUUCUCUUGGGCCACUUAGGGGCUACCGGAACAAACGGUGGAGCGGUGAAAUGCGUAGAUAUCGUUUGGAACGCCAAUGGUGAAAACAGGUAGCUGGGAGUGUGCCGACGCUGAGACACGAAAGCCAGGGGAGCGAAUGGG
rnacentral:rRNA from 1 species